AACGGAAUAAUUAGCGUGGAACAAACCAAGAGGGGGGGGGGGGUGAAUUGGUUAUUUCUUUUUCGCGUGCCUUUAAUAAUUUUUCUCUUUAAUUUUUCUUACCAAGCUGAUAAUAAAAUAUAAACAAAGAGUAAGGGAAAGAGAAAAAUGCACAGGUGAUUUUAUCCUGGUUCAGAUCACAAGGAUCCUACGUCCAGUCGCUUAUCUCUAACAAGAUAAACCUUUUUCACUAUCACAAAACAAUUACAAAUAUUAGUCACAAAGAAAAAUAAUUUGUAAAAGUUUAGAAAUACCACCUCUCUUGAAACCACAAGAGAUGAACUUACAAACACCUCCUUUGAAUAAUCACAAAGGAUGACCACCUCCUCCGAAUGCUUCACGAAGGAUGAUUCUCUUCCAAUCACUUCCUCAGACACACCAAGGAUGAGCAAGCUAUUCCUCCGUCACCGCAGUAGCACUUCAGGGCUUUGCAGACAAGAGUUUCCUUAGCUUUAGUAAUCUCACAGAGUUCUCAAAAGAAUUCAGAGGUUCUUAGCACAAGGGAAGAGUUAAAUUCGAAAUAAAGAGUGAGUCAUUUUAUAGUCUCAGCUCACUACUCUUCCAUUCUUCGAAAACAGGCCAUCCAACGCUUUUAAUCGAUUAACAUAAGUAUUAAUCGAUUAAAAUGAGUACAACGGCUAGUUUUUCAAAUCUGAAACACCCAACAGCUAGUGUUAAUCGAUUAUUCUCAGGAUUAAUCGAUUAACUAAUCGAUUAAAAUUCACUUUAAUCGAUUAUUCCAGGGGCAAUUGGGUUUUCAGUGCUGGCCACGUUUUAAUCGAUUAAAACUUGGUUUAAUCGAUUAAAACAACUUGUGGAAGAUUCCCAAUAAAGAUAAAUUACAUAUAAGCCACAAGAAUCAACCCUAUUACAUUUUAGAGCACUAUUACAUCAUUUUUGAUUAUUAACAAAGCUUUAUAAAAUGCGGAGAUCUUCAAUCCUUCUUUGUGAAUAUUGUCUUGUGCAAAUCUGUUCAUCAUCAAAACUUCAUCUUUUAAUUUUGCUAACAAAGUUAAGCUCAUUGAGGUGUGGAAAUAAAUUAGUUAAAGUUUCAUGACACCUUAAAGGUAAAUCUAAGAAUUAACAAAUAACCAAAACCAUAAGAAUUCAAGUCAAGCAUUGCAUGAAGAAGACAAGGAAAGUAUGAUAAAGUGGAGAAAUUUGCCUUAGUCAAGAAGAGGAAACAGAC
rnacentral:lncRNA from 1 species